rnacentral:rRNA from 1 species
AUGAGCCAUACAAUGACGCUAUGGGAGAGAGUCAUUGAGCACCGCUUAAGAAGAAUGACAAGCGUGACCAAAAACCAGUUUGGUUUCAUGCCUGGGAGGUCGACCAUGGAAGCCAUUUUCUUGGUACGACAGCUUAUGGAGAGAUAUAGGGAGCAAAAGAAGGACUUGCAUAUGGUGUUCAUUGACUUGGAGAAGGCCUAUGAUAAGAUACCGCGGAAUGUCAUGUGGUGGCCCUUGGAGAAACACAAAGUCCCAGCAAAGUACAUUACCCUCAUCAAGGACAUGUACGAUAAUGUUGUGACAAGUGUUCGGACAAGUGAUGUCGACACUGAUGACUUCUCGAUUAAGAUAGGACUGCAUCAGGGGUCAGCUUUGAGCCCUUAUCUUUUUGCAUUGGUGAUGGAUGAGGUCACAAGGGAUAUACAAGGAGAUAUCCCAUGGUGUAUGCUCUUUGCGGAUGAUGUGGUGCUAGUUGACGAUAGUUGGGUGGGGGUAAAUAGGAAGUUAGAGUUAUGGAGAAAAACCUUGGAAUCGAAAGGGUUUAGGCUCAGUAGGACUAAAAUCGAGUACAUGAUGUGCGGUUUCAGUACUACUAGGUGUGAGGAGGAGGAGGUUAGCCUUGAUAGUUAG